UACGGGGAAUGAGGGUUUGAUUCCGGAGAGGGAGCCUGAGAGAUGGCUACCAGGACCAAGGUCAGCAGCAGGCGCGAAAAUUAUCGAAGCCCGCCUAGGGGCGAUAGUGAGGAGACGUGUAUAACGAAGUACGUGUAAAGAACGUGCUAAUAACUGGAGGUCAAGUCUGGUGCCAGCAUCCGCGGUAAUUCCAGCUCCAGGGGUGUCUAUGAUGAUUGCUGCGAUUAAAAAGUCCGUAGUCAAUCUGACUGACUGACCUGCAAUGUGAUUGAUUAAAGAACGAGCAGGGUUAGGAAAGCAGAGAAUUAGGAGCGACCGAGGGCUAGAGUAUGGAAUGGCGAGAGGUGAAAUUUGAUGACCCACUCAGGAGUGACAAAGGCGAAGGCACUAGUCAAGGGCGAAUCCGAUGAUCAAGGACGUAGGCUAGAGUUUCGAAAACGAUUAGAGACCGGAGUAGUUCUAGCAGUAAACUAUGCCGACGCCGUGGUAUCAACAAUGGUAUUGCGGAAGAGAAAUCAAGUAAGGCUUUGGGGAGAGUACGCGCGCAAGCGAUAAAUUUAAAGGAAAUUGACGGAGGAACCCCACAAGGAGUGGAGUGUGCGGUUUAAUUUGACUCAACGCGGGACAGCUUACCAGGCCCGAUAAUCGAGCGAGCGUAGUACGCGAUAGGUUAAAGAGUGGUGCAUGGCUGCUAUCGACAGUUGGGGUGACCUUAGGGUUAAUUCCGGCAAGUAGUGAGACCCCUGCAGAUAGUGGACAGGUAUUUUUAAAAUACAGGAAGGAAGGGACAAGAGCAGGUCAGUGAUGCCCUUAGAUGGCCUGGGCUGCACGCGCACUACAGUGGUCAUUAUAAGUAGAAGUUAGAUAUAAAGAUGAUCGAGAGGGACUGAGCUUUGUAAGAGGCUCACGAACGAGGAAUUGCUAGUAAUCGUAGGCUCAUUAAGAUACGAUGAAUAUGU
rnacentral:rRNA from 1 species